CGAGAAAAAUCCCUAUAACCGUCGGCCAUGCUCUGUGUCUUGGACCGGAUGGCGUUUUUUAAUUCGCCUUGUUUCCACCUAACUGCCCAAAUUAGACUUGAACUUCAUUCAAAAACUCGUCGAAAUCCAACCAUAUAACAAUCUGCCGUGGACGAACCCUAAUCAGCUGAUUGCAUGGUUAUUUUUGACCUUUUUCAUUGGCUUCACUGAUCGAUUUUGCGGACAGUUUGAAAUUUCUUUUUUAAAUUAUUUCUACAGCCUACACCCUAGUGUUGGGUCUAUCUCUUUGAGGGAUAGGGAUUUAUCAGUUAGCUGUUUAAUGUGAAAACUAGCCCAAACAAGUAUCCUUUUUACCUGUUCGCUUUCUAUUAAGAGAAUGGGUCGAUUUCGUGAACAUUCUUAUUCUGUGGCUUUGUUGCACUUCCCCUCUGUUUCACAGCAUCACAGCUUUCUUCGGAAUAAGUUUCACACCUCGCCCGACCUUGUGUGUGUGUGUGUAACUUCAAUGGUUAAGGAAUAGAGGAACAACUAAGGAGUACCUGCAUGUACGUUGUUAAAUCAUCAUAAGUAUAACUAACUACACAAAAAAAAAC